GCCCACUGCAAUACUGUCGCCAUCCAGGCUCCCAUCACAGCAAACCAGAGCAGCAACUGAGGAAGGGGAUGCAAAAAAAUAAAAUAAAAAAUCUAGAAAGCAGGAAAGAAGUGAUGAAUUAAAGCAGGUGUUGAUCGGGUCGGAGCAAGAAAACAACGAGGCAAUAAGCUUGAUUGCGACGAUGCAGAGUAUGCACGCGAAGGCUGGAGAAAACAAGGCCAAGGAAGGGGGUCGAAAUAUCGCAGCUGUGAAACGGGGGCGAGGCACAGAAGCAGGGUAAGGAAACGAAGAAAUGGACAUUUGGGCAGAGAAGGGACGUGCACGUGCAGAAAGGAGGACAUCAUGAGGGGAUGAAAAGAUGCGGCCUUGCAGAGGUAAAGAGGAGAAAUGACCGGAGGGAAAGCUUUUGUUCUUCUGUGGGCAACACAAAGCAAUAUCGUGUCUUUGUGUCUCAGUGACUCCCUCCGCUUUUCUGCUCCAUGAGCCUUUCUUCACAUAGAGUAAAGCCCACAAACAGACAAGAAAUAUGCCCCUGAAUCAGAGGGACAAAAUACUAACACGAUGUUUUCAUUUGGGAAGCAUGGUACACCACCUAACAUUUGCUGCUGUUAUCCAGUUGUAGCCAAAGCUUCUCAUCCGUUGUAUUAAUAUGCACCUCGGCAUGUCAAAAAUGGAGCAUGAGAAUGGAGGCCAAUGUGUGUCACAAUGCUUCCAUGUCCACAGGGAGUCUAGUCUGCACUGCAAUGCAGUAAAGAGAAAGAGGAGGGGUUGUUUUUCGGUUCCAAUCAACUGUUCAUUGACCAGUGGAGAAAAUAAUCACAUGAGGUGCUUGUGUGUGCGUGUAUCGUGUUCUGCUCUUGCGCACUUGCAGCCAAUCUCACUACAACACGAGUAUACCGAGUGGUGUGAUUCAAACAUCUGUUAAAAGCUGAUGUGUGUUCACCUAGCGACAUCAGGACAAAGUGCACCGACAAGGCAGUUCUCUGAAACGCUGACGUGAGGCCAACAUGGCACCGAUACUAAUGCAUUCAUUUUUUGACUACCAAUACAGUCUCAUCCAAAAUAUUGGACUAGUACAGCCGACAAAAUUAUUUUGACUGUAGACUGAAAACAACAAAGAAGACUGAAGUCCUAUGUAGAGCAGGGACGUCCAAACUAUUUCCACUGAGGUCCAAAUAAGGAAAGAGAGGAGGUGAGUGAAGGGCAGGGUCAGUCAAUUCAAUAUGCUUUCGGUCAACAUAUGCAUAAAAAAAGUCUCUCAAAUUGGUAUUGUUGACGGAAAAGCAAAAAAAAAAUAAUAAUAAUAAUAAUUAGCUUUAGAGUCAGUAUCACCAUUUGAGACCUUGAUUUUCUUAAAAAGGCAGUUACCCCUCAAUGACAGGGUGGACAGCAAUUGCUUUGCAUGCAAAGUGCUCAGGAUGAUGAUGAAAAUGGAGUAUACAUGAUCAAAAUGACUAAUUUUGUCAAAUAACCUAUUGUGGACAAUGUAAAAAGAAUUUGAUUUAGCAUAAUUUAACCUUUUAUUAUGCUCACUGUAGCUAGCAGAGGAGUGUGUGGGAAAUGACAAAACCAUGUACAUCCAGUGAAAAAAAAAUGUAAAAUGAAGGAAGCACAUUUGAGGGGACUUGGUAUGCGUACAAAUGUUUGGCCACUUAUAAUAAGACCUCAGAGAUUCAUUAUUCUGCUAUAUUUUCAUGGGAACAGGGUGAUUCGGAUGAAGACACCAAGGACACUUUAUGGUGAUAUUGACCGAUUAGUAUAUCUAUGUUCUUUUUUUUUUUAAGUGUGAAGAAAAAUGUAUUAUCUUGUAAUGUUGCCAUGUAUUGACAAUUUUAAACUUUG